AUACGGAGGAUCCGAGCGUUAUCCGGUUUUAUUGGGUUUAAAGGGUGCGCAGGCGGGAGAUUAAGUCGGCGGUGAAAUUUUGCAGCUCAACUGGAAAAGUGCCUUCGAAACUGGUUUCCUUGAGUGUAGAUGAAGGAGGCGGAAUUUGCGGUGUAGCGGUGAAAUGCAUAGAUAUUACGAGGAACUCCGAUUGCGCAGGCAGCUUACUAAACUACUACUGACGCUCAGGCACGAAGGCGUGGGGAUCAAACAGGAUUAGAUACCCUGGUAGUCCACGCAGUAAACGAUGAUUACUAGCUGUUUGCGAUACAAUGUAAGCGGCUGAGCGAAAGCGUUAAGUAAUCCACCUGGGGAGUACGUGCGCAAGAAUGAAACUCAAAGGAAUUGACGGGG
rnacentral:rRNA from 1 species